CUAUGCUUACUCAAUUUCAAUCUGGCAAAUAUCGACUCUCUUAUCUUUGAAGCUUCUAUUUGGCCUUGCAAAGUAGCUAUCUGGCCUAAGAGGCAUUGUAUUUGAGCCUCUAUCUAGGAUUGCUCCUCUACAUCUCCCAUACUAUAAUUUCUCCAAUAGACUCCACUAUUGUAAUAUCUUUUCAUCUCCCAAUUGACUUUUUAAAAGUAGCUCGUAAUAGCCUCAAUACAGUACCCAAUGUAACCACAACAACUGACCUUAGACUAUAUGAUGACUACUAAUAUGCUACCAAAAAUAAAUAGUCUAAUACUCGCUCUAAUAUCAAUAAAACAUGACCAAAUUAUUUCAAAAACCUAAGAUCCUUCUAGUCCACAGCAACAUAAAAUCUCAUUACGAAAUAUGACAAAAUAGACCAAAAUAGAAUUGAACGGAACUACACAAAAU
rnacentral:lncRNA from 1 species